rnacentral:rRNA from 1 species
UACAGGGGGUGCAAACGUUGCUCGGAAUCAUUGGGCGUAAAGCGCACGUGGGCGGUUCGUUAUGUCGGAUGUGAAAGCCCUUGGCUUAACCGAGGAAGUGCAUCCGAAACUGGCGAGCUAGAGUACGAAAGAGGAUCGCGGAAUUCCCGGUGUAGAGGUGAAAUUCGUAGAUAUCGGGAGGAACACCGGUGGCGAAGGCGGCGACCUGGUCCUUUACUGACGCUGAGGCGCGAAAGCGUGGGGAGCAAACAGG